UAUACGACCGUACCGCAAACCGACACUGGUGCGCGAGAUGAGUAUUCUAAGGCGCUUGAGAGAACUCAGGAGAAGGAACUCGGCAAAUUGACACCGUAACUUCGGAAGAAGGUGUGCCCUAUUAGUGUGUAGUGAACAACGAAGCAUGAAUGGGUUGCAAAAAAUCGGUGGCUGCGACUGUUUAUUAAAAACACAGCACUCUGCAAACACGAGAGUGGACGUAUAGGGUGUGACGCCUGCCCGGUGCUGGAAGAUUAAAUGAUGGGGUGCAAGCUCUUGAUUGAAGUCCCAGUAAACGGCGGCCGUAACUAUAACGGUCCUAAGGUAGCGAAAUUCCUUGUCGGGUAAGUUCCGACCUGCACGAAUGGCGUAACGAUGGCCGCACUGUCUCCUCCUGAGACUCAGCGAAGUUGAAAUGUUUGUGAUUUUGCAAUCUCCCCGCGGAAAGACGGAAAGACCCCAUGAACCUUUACUGUAGCUUUGUAUUGGACUUUGAACAGAUCUGUGUAGGAUAGGUGGGAGGCUUUGAAGCAGGGUCGCUAGAUCUUGUGGAGCCAACGUUGAAAUACCACCCUGGUGUGUUUGAGGUUCUAACCUAGGUCCAUUAUCUGGAUCGGGGACAGUGCAUGGUAGGCGGUUUGACUGGGGCGGUCUCCUCCCAAAGCGUAACGGAGGAGUUCGAAGGUACGCUAGUUACGGUCGGACAUCGUGACGAUAGUGCAAUGGCAUAAGCGUGCUUAACUGCGAGACUGACAAGUCGAGCAGAUGCGAAAGCAGGACAUAGUGAUCCGGUGGUUCUGUAUGGAAGGGCCAUCGCUCAACGGAUAAAAGGUACUCUGGGGAUAACAGGCUGAUACCGCCCAAGAGUUCAUAUCGACGGCGGUGUUUGGCACCUCGAUGUCGGCUCAUCUCAUCCUGGGGCUGUAGCCGGUCCCAAGGGUAUGGCUGUUCGCCAUUUAAAGAGGUACGUGAGCUGGGUUUAAAACGUCGUGAGACAGUUUGGUCCCUAUCUUCCGUGGGCGCUGCAGAUUUGAGGAAGCCUGCUCCUAGUACGAGAGGACCGGAGUGGACACACCUCUGGUGUAUCGGUUGUCACGCCAGUGGCAUUGCCGAGUAGCUAAGUGUGGAAGAGAUAACCGCUGAAAGCAUCUAAGCGGGAAACUCGUUUCAAGAUGAGAUCUGCCGGGGCCUUGAGCCCCCUAAAGAGUCGUUCAAGACCAGGACGUUGAUAGGUCAGGUGUGGAAGC
rnacentral:rRNA from 1 species